GAUGCUGUGGCCUAAUGGUUAGCAUGUUGGACUCUGGAUCAAGUGGUCUGGGUUCGAGCCCUGACCUGUGUCA